rnacentral:rRNA from 1 species
UACGUAGGGGGCAAGCGUUGUCCGGAAUUAUUGGGCGUAAAGGGCUCGUAGGCGGUUUGUCGCGUCGGGAGUGAAAACCUUGGGCUUAACUCAGGGCUUGCUUUCGAUACGGGCAGACUAGAGGUAUGCAGGGGAGAACGGAAUUCCUGGUGUAGCGGUGAAAUGCGCAGAUAUCAGGAGGAACACCGGUGGCGAAGGCGGUUCUCUGGGCAUGAUCUGACGCUGAGGAGCGAAAGUGUGGGGAGCGAACAGG